rnacentral:rRNA from 1 species
CGAAUGCUGACAUAAGUAACGAUAAAGCGGGUGAAAAGCCCGCUCGCCGGAAGACCAAGGGUUCCUGUCCAACGUUAAUCGGGGCAGGGUGAGUCGACCCCUAAGGCGAGGCCGAAAGGCGUAGUCGAUGGGAAACAGGUUAAUAUUCCUGUACUUGGUGUUACUGCGAAGGGGGGACGGAGAAGGCUAUGUUGGCCGGGCGACGGUUGUCCCGGUUUAAGCGUGUAGGCUGGUUUUCCAGGCAAAUCCGGAAAAUCAAGGCUGAGGCGUGAUGACGAGGCACUACGGUGCUGAAGCAACAAAUGCCCUGCUUCCAGGAAAAGCCUCUAAGCAUCAGGUAACAUCAAAUCGUACCCCAAACCGACACAGGUGGUCAGGUAGAGAAUACCAAGGCGCUUGAGAGAACUCGGGUGAAGGAACUAGGCAAAAUGGUGCCGUAACUUCGGGAGAAGGCACGCUGAUAUGUAGGUGAAGUCCCUCGCGGAUGGAGCUGAAAUCAGUCGAAGAUACCAGCUGGCUGCAACUGUUUAUUAAAAACACAGCACUGUGCAAACACGAAAGUGGACGUAUACGGUGUGACGCCUGCCCGGUGCCGGAAGGUUAAUUGAUGGGGUCAGCGCAAGCGAAGCUCUUGAUCGAAGCCCCGGUAAACGGCGGCCGUAACUAUAACGGUCCUAAGGUAGCGAAAUUCCUUGUCGGGUAAGUUCCGACCUGCACGAAUGGCGUAAUGAUGGCCAGGCUGUCUCCACCCGAGACUCAGUGAAAUUGAACUCGCUGUGAAGAUGCAGUGUACCCGCGGCAAGACGGAAAGACCCCGUGAACCUUUACUAUAGCUUGACACUGAACAUUGAGCCUUGAUGUGUAGGAUAGGUGGGAGGCUUUGAAGUGUGGACGCCAGUCUGCAUGGAGCCGACCUUGAAAUACCACCCUUUAAUGUUUGAUGUUCUAACGUGGACCCGUGAUCCGGGUUGCGGACAGUGUCUGGUGGGUAGUUUGACUGGGGCGGUCUCCUCCUAAAGAGUAACGGAGGAGCACGAAGGUUGGCUAAUCCUGGUCGGACAUCAGGAGGUUAGUGCAAUGGCAUAAGCCAGCUUGACUGCGAGCGUGACGGCGCGAGCAGGUGCGAAAGCAGGUCAUAGUGAUCCGGUGGUUCUGAAUGGAAGGGCCAUCGCUCAACGGAUAAAAGGUACUCCGGGGAUAACAGGCUGAUACCGCCCAAGAGUUCAUAUCGACGGCGGUGUUUGGCACCUCGAUGUCGGCUCAUCACAUCCUGGGGCUGAAGUAGGUCCCAAGGGUAUGGCUGUUCGCCAUUUAAAGUGGUACGCGAGCUGGGUUUAGAACGUCGUGAGACAGUUCGGUCCCUAUCUGCCGUGGGCGCUGGAGAACUGAGGGGGGCUGCUCCUAGUACGAGAGGACCGGAGUGGACGCAUCACUGGUGUUCGGGUUGUCAUGCCAAUGGCACUGCCCGGUAGCUAAAUGCGGAAGAGAUAAGUGCUGAAAGCAUCUAAGCACGAAACUUGCCCCGAGAUGAGUUCUCCCUGACCCUUUAAGGGUCCUGAAGGAACGUUGAAGACGACGACGUUGAUAGGCCGGGUGUGUAAGCGCAGCGA